rfam:Myotis davidii contig100693, whole genome shotgun sequence.
GGCAGUUCUUGGGUGACACACCCCAGAAUUGGGCUCCCUCCUCUCUGGUUCCGGGUGUUAAACCAGAGAACCACA